rnacentral:rRNA from 1 species
UACGUAGGCAGCGAGCGUUGUUCGGAGUUACUGGGCGUAAAGCGUGCGUAGGCGGUUUUGUAAGUUUGGUGUGAAAUCUCCCGGCUCAACUGGGAGGGUGCGCCGAAAACUGCAAGGCUGGAGUAUGGGAGAGGUAGGCGGAAUUCCUGGUGUAGCGGUGAAAUGCGUAGAUAUCAGGAGGAACACCUGUGGUGUAGACGGCUUACUGGACCAUGACUGACGCUGAUGCGCGAAAGCCAGGGGAGCAAACGGG